AAAUCUUAAGACUCUCUAAAACAUUUUUUGUAAAGCUGAAUAAAAUGAGUGAGAAGUAAGUCAUUAUGAAGGCUGAACUAAUGAUUU